rnacentral:other from 1 species
UCAACCCUGCUGUGUGCGUGAUUGCCGUCUUUGCGUUUUGAGCCAACACCUAUCAAAACGGGGGCUGUCUCUUCAGAGAGGAAUGCGGUAGCCUACGGGCAAGGCAGACCACUGAGCAGGCUCCCACCUGCGAGAGCAGGUUCAAAACACACCGGCACACGGCACGGCAGGGUCCGG